UACGUAGGGUGCAAGCGUUAAUCGGAAUUACUGGGCGAAAAGCGCACGCAGGCGUUCUGUCAAGUCGGAUGUGAAAUCCCCCAGCUCAACCUGGGAACUGCAUUCGAAACUGGCAGGCUAGAGUCUUGAAGAGGGGGGUAGACUUCCAGGUGUAGCGGUGAAAUGCGUAGAGAUCUGGAGGAAUACCGGUGGCGAAGGCGGCCCCCUGGACAAAGACUGACGCUCAGGUGCGAAAGCGUGGGGAGCAAACAGG
rnacentral:misc_RNA from 1 species